rnacentral:rRNA from 1 species
UUGAACGCUGGCGGCAUGCUUUACACCUGCAAGUCGAACGGUAACAGGCCUUCGGGUGCUGACGAGUGGCGAACGGGUGAGUAAUGCAUCGGAACGUGCCCAGAGGGGGGGGAUAACGCAGCGAAAGCUGUGCUAAUACCGCAUGUGAUCUGAGGAUGAAAGCGGGGGACCAGGCAGCAAUGUUUGGCCUCGCGCCUUUGGAGCGGCCGAUGUCAGAUUAGGUAGUUGGUGGGGUAAAGGCCUACCAAGCCGACGAUCUGUAGCUGGUCUGAGAGGACGACCAGCCACACUGGGACUGAGACACGGCCCAGACUCCUACGGGAGGCAGCAGUGGGGAAUUUUGGACAAUGGGCGCAAGCCUGAUCCAGCAAUGCCGCGUGCGGGAAGAAGGCCUUCGGGUUGUAAACCGCUUUUGUACGGAACGAAAAGGCUCUGGCUAAUACCUGGGGCUGAUGACGGUACCGUAAGAAUAAGCACCGGCUAACUACGUG